rnacentral:rRNA from 1 species
UACGUAGGGGGCAAGCGUUGUCCGGAAUCAUUGGGCGUAAAGAGCGUGUAGGCGGCCCGAUAAGUCCGCUGUGAAAGUCCAGGGCUCAACCCUGGAAUGCCGGUGGAUACUGUCGGGCUCGAAUCCGGAAGAGGUGAGUGGAAUUCCUGGUGUAGCGGUGAAAUGCGCAGAUAUCGGGAGGAACACCUACGGCGAAGGCAGCUCGCUGGGACGUUACUGGCGCUGAGACGCGAAAGCGUGGGGAGCAAACAGG